UGUGGUGGAUUCAGCCAGAGGAAACUCUGGUGGAAGUUCGUAGCGGUGUUGACGUGCAAAUCACUCGUCUGACUUGAGUGUAGGGGCGAAAGACUAAUCGAACCAUCUAGUUGCUGGUUCCUUCCGAAGUUUCCCUCAGGAUAGCUGGCAUUUGUUUGUAACAAUUUUAUCCGGUAGAGCGAAUGAUUAGAGGUGUUGGGAACGCAAUGUUCUCAGCCUAUUCUCAAACUUCGAAUGGGUAAGCAAGGCGUUUUGCUUUGAUUUUACGAUGAAAUCGCCCAAUUAGAAUGUAUAAAUGCCUAGUGGGCCAAUUUUGGUAAGCAGAACUGGCGAUGUGGAAUGAACCAAAAGUCAGGUUAAGGUGCCAGACAUUGGCGCUCAUGAAAUACCAGAAAAGGUGUUGGUCGAUAUAGACAGCAGGACGGUGGCCAUGGAAGUUGGAAUCCGCCAAGGAGUGUGUAACAACUCACCUGCCGAAUCGACUAGCCCUGAAAAUGGAUAGCGUUUGAGCUCCAGGCCCAUACCUGACCGUCUCAAUUACGCACUUUUUUUUCGGAAAAGGUGUAAUGAACGUUGAGACGGGUAGGAAGGUCGCGACAGUGUUGCUUUGAAGAGUUUUGAGCGUGAGCUCGCUC
rnacentral:ncRNA from 1 species